UUGCAGGAAAGCAAUUGGCUAUUGCUAAGAAGGUUACAACCUUUGACAGAGCAAACUCUAUGAGAACUUGUAAUCCAUCUUUUAUUGCUGUCAUGCAUCCAUCAUACAUUGAUGCUGCUUGUAAUCUGCAUAUACCAAGUGAGUUUGGUAAAAGACACUUAUUAGGUUUAGGGAAAAAGAAAGGAGAUAUUCAUCUUAGGUUAUUAAAUGGGAAAGUUUGGCCUGCAAGGUACCUAAUUAGGAAAGGCAAUAGAAAAGGAGAAAAAUUUGAAAUGUACUCAAGUGAAUGGAAGACAUUUGCAGAAGACAACAACUUGAAAGUUGGUGAUGUUUGCACUUUUGAGCUCUUUCCUACUAGCACUAUACUUACCUUCAUUGUUCACAUCUUUAGGGAUUCUUUUGAGAUAUAAACAAUUGAAAACUUUCAAGAAUCAACACACUAAGGAGUGGAGCUAUUUUGGAAUAGAGAAGGGACAUGAAAAUCAUCUUUACUACCUAAUCACCAUAACAACAAGAGUUUCAAAAAUGUUCUUCUAUGCACUCUGUUUGAUCCAGUUCAUGUUUUUGAACACUACUAUUAACCAAAAAUGGUACAACUACUAUUUUGCUUCGCUUUGGUGUUUGCGCCUGAGCUUCACUUGAUUGAAUGUAAUGCCUACUUUGUUGUUUUUCUUCAUGAAUUUUUGCAAAAUACUUUUCACUAAA